rnacentral:rRNA from 1 species
UACGUAGGGUGCAAGCGUUAAUCGGAAUUACUGGGCGUAAAGCGUGCGCAGGCGGCUUUGCAAGACAGAUGUGAAAUCCCCGGGCUUAACCUGGGAACUGCAUUUGUGACUGCAUGGCUGGAGUGCGGCAGAGGGGAUGGAAUUCCGGCGUGUAGCAGUGAAAUGCGUAGAUAUGCGGAGGAACACCGAUGGCGAAGGCAAUCCCCUGGGCCUGCACUGACGCUCAUGCACGAAAGCGUGGGGAGCAA